AUGCGGACGACGGCCAGUGAUUAGAGUUUGAUCCUGGCUCAGGAUGAACGCUAGCUACAGGCUUAACACAUGCAAGUCGAGGGGCAGCAUGAUCGAAGCUUGCUUUGAUUGAUGGCGACCGGCGCACGGGUGAGUAACGCGUAUCCAACCUUCCCUAUAGUAGAGAAUAGCCCGGCGAAAGUCGGAUUAAUGCUCUAUGUUGUAUUUAGAAGACAUCUGAAGAAUACCAAAGGUUUACCGCUAUAGGAUGGGGAUGCGUCUGAUUAGGUAGUAGGCGGGGUAACGGCCCACCUAGCCGACGAUCAGUAGGGGUUCUGAGAGGAAGGUCCCCCACAUUGGAACUGAGACACGGUCCAAACUCCUACGGGAGGCAGCAGUGAGGAAUAUUGGUCAAUGGACGGAAGUCUGAACCAGCCAAGUAGCGUGCAGGAUGACGGCCCUAUGGGUUGUAAACUGCUUUUAUAUAGGGAUAAAGUCGGGGACGUGUCCCCGUUUGUAGGUACUAUAUGAAUAAGGACCGGCUAAUUCCGUGCCAGCAGCCGCGGUAAUACGGAAGGUCCAGGCGUUAUCCGGAUUUAUUGGGUUUAAAGGGAGCGCAGGCUGAUGAUUAAGCGUGACGUGAAAUGUAGCCGCUCAACGGCUGAACUGCGUCGCGAACUGGUUAUCUUGAGUGAGUUCGAUGUUGGCGGAAUUCGUGGUGUAGCGGUGAAAUGCUUAGAUAUCACGAAGAACUCCGAUUGCGAAAGCAGCCAACAAAGGCCUUUACUGACGCUAAAGCUCGAAGUGCGGGUAUCGAACAGGAUUAGAUACCCUGGUAGUCCGCACGGUAAACGAUGGAUGCCCGCUGCUUGCGAUAUACUGUGAGCGGCCAGAGAAAUCGUUAAGCAUCCCACCUGGGGGAGUACGCCGGCAACGGUGAAACUCAAGGAAUUGACCGGGGCCCGCCCAAGCGGAGGGACCAUGUGGUUUAUUCGAUGAUACGCGAGGGAACCUUACCCGGGCUUGUACUGCCAGCGACGAUUCAAAAUGAUGAGGUCUUCAGGACCCUGGUGGAGGGGCUGCAUGUUGUCUUCACUCUGCCCUGCGAGGGGUCGCUUAAUGACCUAACAGGCACCCCUUUCUUAUUGCCUUCGUAUGCUGGACUUGGUAAUUGCACUAGUUGUUGCGGGAUAUCAAUCCAGGCCUUAUAUUCUCUGGGCU
rnacentral:rRNA from 1 species